UACGUAGGGUGCGAGCGUUAAUCGGAAUUACUGGGCGUAAAGCGUGCGCAGGCGGCGCGUUAAGACAGGUGUGAAAGCCCCGAGCUUAACUUGGGAAUUGCGCUUGUGACUGGCGUGCUGGAGUGUGGCAGAGGGAGGUGGAAUUCCACGUGUAGCAGUGAAACGCGUAGAGAUGUGGAGGAACACCGAUGGCGAAGGCAGCCUCCUGGGCCAGCACUGACGCUCAUGCACGAAAGCGUGGGGAGCAAACAGG
rnacentral:rRNA from 1 species